rnacentral:tRNA from 1 species
CUGGGUAGAGUUCAGUGGUAGAGUAUGUGCUUAGUAUGCAUGGGGCCCUGGGUUCAAUCCCCAGCACCAAAA